CACGUAGGGUGCGAGCGUUGUCCGGAAUUAUUGGGCGUAAAGAGCUCGUAGGCGGUCUGUCGCGUCGGUCGUGAAAACUUGGGGCUUAACCCCUGAGCCUGCGGUCGAUACGGGCAUGACUGGAGUUGCGGCAGGGGAGACUGGAAUUCCUGGUGUAGCGGUGAAAUGCGCAGAUAUCAGGAGGAACACCGGUGGCGAAGGCGGGUCUCUGGGCCGACAUGACGCUGAGGAGCGAAAGCGUGGGGAGCGAACAGGAUAGAUACCCCGU
rnacentral:rRNA from 1 species